UACGAGAGGCCCAAACGUUAUUCGGAUUUACUGGGCUUAAAGAGUUCGUAGGCGGUGCGGUAAGUGGGUGUGAAAGCCCUCGGCUCAACCGAGGAAUUGCGCUCCAAACUACCACACUCGAGGGAGAUAGAGGUGAGCAGAACUGAUGGUGGAGCGGUGAAAUGCGUUGAUAUCAUCAGGAAUACCGGAGGCGAAGGCGGCUCACUGGGUCUCUUCUGACGCUGAGGAACGAAAGGCUAGGGAGCAAACGGG
rnacentral:rRNA from 1 species